CAGAUCAGAUUCAAAACAAUCUUCCAUCUAAAUUCAAAACAGUCAUAGGCUUUCAUAAUGAAAAUUUGGAUUCAAACCAGAAUUGCAUAAAUAAAAUGAAGUUUUAUUUUAUGAAUAUGUUGACCGCGUGUUUGGUUCGCUGAUUCGGAUUCAUGAUUCAAUUCAAACCAGAAGUGCAAUAUUUCAUCAUUAGACUGCAGAUUCAUGAUUCAAUUCAACUAGUUAGUUUUCAGAAAAAAAAAUAUCGCAUCAUUAUUAAACGUGACUGCAUGUUUCAAUUUCUACAAAUGUUGAAUCUUUCAUCAGAAACAUUAAAAACAUAAAAGGGAUUAGGGAAGACAAUGUUUACCUUGAUUGAAUUGGAAAGGUUUUC
rnacentral:lncRNA from 1 species